rnacentral:rRNA from 1 species
GUGGGGAAUCUUAGACAAUGGGGGAAACCCUGAUCUAGCCAUGCCGCGUGAGCGAUGAAGGCCUUAGGGUUGUAAAGCUCUUUCAGCUGGGAAGAUAAUGACGGUACCAGCAGAAGAAGCCCCGGCUAACUCCGUGCCAGCAGCCGCGGUAAUACGGAGGGGGCUAGCGUUGUUCGGAAUUACUGGGCGUAAAGCGCACGUAGGCGGAUCAGAAAGUCAGAGGUGAAAUCCCAGGGCUCAACCUUGGAACUGCCUUUGAAACUCCUGUACUUGAGUUCGAGAGAGGUGAGUGGAAUUCCGAGUGUAGAGGUGAAAUUCGUAGAUAUUCGGAGGAACACCAGUGGCGAAGGCGGCUCACUGGCUCGAUACUGACGCUGAGGUGCGAAAGCGUGGGGAGCAAACAGGAUUAGAAACCCGGGUAGUCC